UACGAAGGGGGCUAGCGUUGCUCGGAAUCACUGGGCGUAAAGCGCACGUAGGCGGAUUGUUAAGUCAGGGGUGAAAUCCUGGAGCUCAACUCCAGAACUGCCUUUGAUACUGAUGAGCUUGAGUUCGGGAGAGGUGAGUGGAACUGCGAGUGUAGAGGUGAAAUUCGUAGAUAUUCGCAAGAACACCAGUGGCGAAGGCGGCUCACUGGCCCGAUACUGACGCUGAGGUGCGAAAGCGUGGGGAGCAAACAGG
rnacentral:rRNA from 1 species